rnacentral:rRNA from 1 species
GAUGAACGCUGGCGGCGUGCUUAACACAUGCAAGUCGAACGAUGAAGCCCAGCUUGCUGGGUGGAUUAGUGGCGAACGGGUGAGUAACACGUGAGUAACCUGCCCUUAACUCUGGGAUAAGCCUGGGAAACUGGGUCUAAUACCGGAUAGGAGCGCCUACCGCAUGGUGGGUGUUGGAAAGAUUUAUCGGUUUUGGAUGGACUCGCGGCCUAUCAGCUUGUUGGUGAGGUAAUGGCUCACCAAGGCGACGACGGGUAGCCGGCCUGAGAGGGUGACCGGCCACACUGGGACUGAGACACGGCCCAGACUCCUACAGGAGGCAGCAGUGGGGAAUAUUGCACAAUGGGCGAAAGCCUGAUGCAGCGACGCCGCGUGAGGGAUGACGGCCUUCGGGUUGUAAACCUCUUUCAGUAGGGAAGAAGCGAAAGUGACGGUACCUGCAGAAGAAGCACCGGCUAACUACGUG